AGAAAUUGGGGUGUGGUUUAUGUGACUGUGGGUGAGUAUGCAUACUUGCAUAUGAGUGAAUGUACAUGUGUUUAUGUGCAUCUGUGUGUCCACAUGUGUAUGUUGGAGUGGAGUGAAGGAAAUUCCAUGGAGAAAUAUUUAUGUUGGAUAUUUACAGGCAAUUCCAAUAUGGUUAUCUUGAAACCAUUUCUAUAAAUCCUCAAAUGUGCUUCCUUUCAAAUGGAAGAGUCUAAUUUGUUUCAUCUUUCAGGUUUUGAACUUUUAACUAGCUACAUAUGAAAAGAAUGUAGUAGAAGUGAGGGCCUGUGUCCUUCAAGAACAGAUCUUAACUUCUAUCUAGUUCUCUCUUUUAUUGUUUACUUUGGAAACGAGGGACACCAUGUUCAAAGGAAUCAAGUAGCCCAUAGGGAGGUCUGUGUAGAGGAACUAUGACCUUUCGUCACUCGGUUUGGCUUGUUGUCUAUGAAUACGUAUCUGCUAGGAGCUGAUCCUUUUGCCUUCACAAAGGUCAGUUCCACUGAGCACAUAAUUGAACACUCUGAGCCAGAAGUUCCAAGAUAGGUCAUGCCCAAAUCUCAGCUCACUUCUAUUGUAUGAGAUCAUAGUGGUCUCAUGAUUUUAAGUUGCUAAGCCCUGAGGUUGCAGUUACUCUUCAAUAAAUAAUGAAUCAGGCAAGUUCUGUUCAUUUUCUCAUUUUCACCAUAACAGUAAGAGAGAAACCAUUAUUGUAUAUAUGUAUGAGAGGUAUUUUAAUAUGAAUUUCAAAAACUAAAACUUAGAGAGCUUAAGGAAUUGUGAUACUGCGCUGAUAUUGGUAAGAGUGGAAUUCACUCACAAGCAACAGGAGACCCAGCAUAAAAGCAAUAAGACAGAUAAGUAAUUCUACAAAACAGAAUAUGAUAUAUUAGAAAACUAAAGGCUAGUUAUGUUGCUCAUAUAAUGUUCAUGGGUCCUGAUGCUAUUUUGUUUCUAAUUGUCAAAGGCUAGAAGAGUCCAUCAUGUUCCAAGGAGACAGAAUUAAAUGUACUUCUGAAGCACAUAAUGUGGGUGAUGAGAACUGAAUUCAGGUCCUUCGAUCUCUCAAAUUUAUACUUUAUUAUGAAGAAGCAAUUGCAAGCAUCAACUACAUAAAUACAUGGAGCUAACAUAAUGGGUCAAAGAAGUGUGAUAAAAUAAAUUCCUGUAGUUUAGACCUUCCAAAUUAGAAUACUCUCUUAUGGGAACCCAGAAAACUAAACCAAGAAGUGUCUCAACUAGGAUAAGCACAAAAAGAGAUUACGUCAGGUGACAAACGUGGGCUGACAUCAUUCUUCAUAAUGAGGCCAACGCAAAAAGAAGGCAUGUAGUUCUUCCCAGCGAAUGCGAAGAUUAGACCGUGUGCAGGAGAGAAGGUUGAGUUUAUCCAGUCUGUUUUCAUGCUGAGCACUGCGCACCCUGCUCCAGAGCCCUUGAGCACUCUACAGACGGCACUGCUGAACUGGAUCCGAUAAUAGAUGCUGGCCCAUGGGUUUUAUUACCUUAGCUGUGUUGCUUGGAUUUGAAGGAUGCAGUAAUUAGAGCAAGUUGAUGACCUUCCUCAGGGUCAACUUGAGAAACCAGCAGCAGCUUAUGAAAUACGUGGAUUCCUCUAUGGCAGUGACUGUCUCGAUUACUUAGUUGCAGUAAUGUACAUGUAACAGACUUGAAACAAUGUGAAGACGUGAAGACAUGACACAAGUUUCAAAUAAGGAUAUUCAUGAGAAACCAGCACAGAGGUGCAAGUUUAUUUUGUGUAACAAAUUUAGAAGACUUCUGAGAAUUUGGAGAAAAAAAUGGAUAAUUACAAAGAAGAAAAUACUCUGCUAAUUUGGACUGAACAAAGAAGUUUCAAACUGCUACAUACGAAGUCUCCUUGGUUUUUGUUAGGUGAUGAGAACUUUUGGAAAAUUUUUUGGGGUGGAAAAUUUUUGAAGUUGAUUCUGGCAUCAUGGAAAUUUGGUACCCAAUAGAAGUUCAAUAAAUGUUUGUUAAAUGAAUAACAAUGUGAUGCCAUAAACCAGAUUUUGGACUCCACCAAAACAAUAGUUGUCAUGAAUGGAUUUGUUUUUCCGGAGUUGAUCUCUUUUAUUGCUGUUUAAAUAUAAUGUCCUUUGAAUAAGGGUCAUAUGAUGCACUCGUAUCAUUAGGUGAUCGCUUAUAUGCCACACAUGAUUGAAAAUGUCUUGCUAGUAAUCAUUUGUCAACUUGACACAAAUUAAAGUUCCUAUGAGCAUUUCUCUAAA